AUGGACCCUAGUGAGAUUUUGAAUGUCAGAUUUCAUUUUGGGGGCCAGUUCAUCCACAUUGGUCCUGUUUUGGAUUAUGUGGGGGGAGAUGAAGCACUUUCAUUGAUUGAGAGGGACAAGUUGUCAUUGUUUGAAGUUCAAGGGCAUUUGAAAGACCAUCUGGAGUUCAAGGAAUCGAUGAAGUUGUAUUUUCAUGUUCCUGGGAAAGAACUAGCUGAUGGUUUGAGGUUUUUGUUUGAUGACAGUGGUUGUGCUAGCAUGUCAGACUACAUUUGUGUUGGAGAUGUAGCUGACAUUUAUGUGGAAUACCAUGGGGAGCAGGACAGUGAGAGUAGCAGCAGUGCUAGUGAUUAUGAGAAUGAGAUUGUUGAUGUU
rnacentral:rRNA from 1 species